GGUGAGAUGGCCGAGCGGUCUAAGGCGCCAGACUAAGGUGAAAUCUCUCUACUACCUAAUCUGGUCUCUUCGGGGGCGGGAGUUCGAAUCUCCCUCUCAUCA
rfam:Termitomyces sp. J132 unplaced genomic scaffold scaffold154, whole genome shotgun sequence.